rnacentral:ncRNA from 1 species
UCAAAUUCACUGAAGGGAACAAGUAAAAACGAUAUCCAUGUCAACAGAGAGCUGCGUAUGGUGGAAAGCAGUGGCCAGAACGUUUUGAACAUCAUCCCCGAGAAGAGAAGCCGAACGUGCACGAUGCUACGAUUAUCAAAGCAAGUAGGUUUCUACGGUCUGACCCCCGUUACAGGAGUCGCGUAUGUCGGUACGUUGCAGAAUCGUACUUGUUUCAAGGAAGAGACAGGGUGGUUGCGGAUACUAUAUUCCGUCCCUAGU